AAAACGACUCUCGGCAACGGAUAUCUCGGCUCUCGCAUCGAUGAAGAACGUAGCGAAAUGCGAUACUUGGUGUGAAUUGCAGAAUCCCGUGAACCAUCGAGUCUUUGAACGCAAGUUGCGCCCGAAGCCGUUAGGCGGAGGGCACGUCUGCCUGGGCGUCACGC
rnacentral:rRNA from 6 species